rnacentral:rRNA from 1 species
GUGCCAGCGGUUCGGCCGGGCGACUCUAACGGGACUGCCCGCGAAAGCGGGAGGAAGGAGGGGACGACGUCUGGUCAGCAUGGCCCUUACGGCCUGGGCGACACACGUGCUACAAUGCCCACUACAAAGCGAUGCCACCCGGCAACGGGGAGCUAAUCGCAAAAAAGGUGGGCCCAGUUCGGAUUGGGGUCUGCAACCCGACCCCAUGAAGCCGGAAUCGCUAGUAAUCGCGGAUCAGCACGCCGCGGUGAAUACGUUCCCGGGCCUU